rnacentral:lncRNA from 1 species
ACCAGCCCCAGCAAGACCAGCCCUAGACCAGCCCAGCAAGACCAGCCCCUAGACCAGCCCCAGCAAGACCAGCCCCUAAACCAGCCCCAGCAAGACCAGCCCCUAAACCAGCCCCAGCAAGACCAGCCCCUAAACCAGCCCCAGCAAGACCAGCCCCAGCAAGACCAGCCUCUAAACCAGCCCCAGCAAGACCAGCCCCUAAACCAGCCCCAGCAAGACCAGCCCCUAGACCAGCCCCAGCAAGACCAGCCCCUAGACCAGCCCCAGCAAGACCAGCCCCUAAACCAGCCCCAGCAAGACCAGCCCCUAAAACCAGCCCCAGCAAGACCAGCCCCUAGACCAGCCCCAGCAAGACCAGCCCCUAAACCAGCCCCAGCAAGACCAGCCUCUAAACCAGCCCAAGCAAGACCAGCCCCAGCAAGACCAGCCCCUAAACCAGCCCCAGCAAGACCAGCCCCUAGACCAGCCCCAGCAAGACCAGCCCCUAAACCAGCCCCAGCAAGACCAGCCUCUAAACCAGCCCCAGCAAGACCAGCCCCAGCAAGACCAGCCCCUAAACCAGCCCCAGCAAGACCAGCCCCAGCAAGACCAGCCCCUAGACCAGCCCCAGCAAGACCAGCCCCUAAACCAGCCCCAGCAAGACCAGCCCCAGCAAGACCAGCCCCUAAACCAGCCCCAGCAAGACCAGCCCCUAGACCAGCCCCAGCAAGACCAGCCCUAAACCAGCCCCAGCAAGACCAGCCCCUAGACCAGCCCCAGCAAGACCAGCCCCUAAACCAGCCCCAGCAAGACCAGCCCCUAAACCCAGCCCCAGCAAGACCAGCCCCAGCAAGACCAGCCCCUAAACCAGCCCCAGCAAGACCAGCCCCAGCAAGACCAGCCCCUAAACCAGCCCAGCAAGGACCAGCCCCUAGACCAGCCCCAGCAAGACCAGCCCCUAAACCAGCCCCAGCAAGACCAGCCCCUAAACCAGCCCCAGCAAGACCAGCCCCAGCAAGACCAGCCCCUAGACCAGCCCCAGCAAGACCAGCCCCUAAACCAGCCCCAGCAAGACCAGCCCCUAGACCAGCCCCAGCAAGACCAGCCCCUAAACCAGCCCCAGCAAGACCAGCCCCUAGACCAGCCCCAGCAAGACCAGCCCCUAAACCAGCCCCAGCAAGACCAGCCCCUAAACCAGCCCCAGCAAGACCAGCCCCUAAACCAGCCCCAGCAAGACCAGCCCCUAAACCAGCCCCAGCAAGACCAGCCCCAGCAAGACCAGCCCCUAAACCAGCCCCAGCAAGACCAGCCCCUAGACCAGCCCCAGCAAGACCAGCCCCUAAACCAGCCCCAGCAAGACCAGCCCCUAAACCAGCCCCAGCAAGACCAGCCCCAGCAAGACCAGCCCCUAGACCAGCCCCAGCAAGACCAGCCCCUAAACCAGCCCCAGCAAGACCAGCCCCUAGACCAGCCCCAGCAAGACCAGCCCCUAAACCAGCCCCAGCAAGACCAGCCCCUAGACCAGCCCCAGCAAGACCAGCCCCAGCAAGACCAGCCCCUAGACCAGCUAAUCCCACAAGACCACCAACUGAUUACACUUGA